GCUUAGGGAACCUAAUUGAUAUGUUGAUAGACUCAUAAAGUUCUGCAAAAAAAGUUGCACCCUUUUGGUUCUUUUAAAUACUUUUUUUUCUAUAUUUCAAAAAAAAAAAAUUCCUCUGAUCUACCUGAAUUUUUCUGUUACUCACAUAAAUUUCUUCAAUUUCUAAAUUAUCUCUAGGACAAAUUGGUUUAGACACUGCUACUCCUACAUUAACAUGCAUACUUUGUGCCCUUAUAUUGGCACCUUAAUCAAUUUACAGCUCAAUAAAUCCAAUUAUUAGGCAUACAAUGAUAACAUCACAAAAAUCUACCAAACAGUGGAUCUCCAAAGGGCAUGACAGAAGCAAUCCCAUUU
rnacentral:lncRNA from 1 species